rnacentral:rRNA from 1 species
UACGUAGGGUGCAAGCGUUAAUCGGAAUUACUGGGCGUAAAGCGUGCGCAGGCGGUGAUGUAAGACAGUUGUGAAAUCCCCGGGCUCAACCUGGAGACGCCACUCGAUACUGCUAUGGCUAGAGUCCGGUAGGGGACCACGGAAUUCCUGGUGUAGCGGUGAAAUGCGCAGAUAUCAGGAGGAACACCGGUGGCGAAGGCGGUGGUCUGGGCCGGCACUGACGCUGAGGAGCGAAAGCGUGGGGAGCGAACAGG